UCCCAUGUGGCUCAGUUGGUAGAGCCUUGUGUUUGCAACGCCAGGGUUGUGGGUUAGAUUCCCACGGGGGAC
rnacentral:tRNA from 1 species